UCUAGGACAGAACCCAAUCUCACCCCUUGACCCAAACAAACCCUAGCCGCCGCCUGAUUGAUAAUCACUCUUUCUAACAAGAGACGCUAACUCUCACCUCUCUGGUUCAUUGAUAUAGACACACAUUGUUAAAGAUAGAAAAAUUGGCCUCCUAAAUUUUUCUGAAAUCCUAGAAUUUUUGAGAGCCCCAGAAACAAAAACUGAGAUUUCAGAGAAGAUAGAGGGAGUAGUUAAUUGCUAAGUUUCUACAGUUCAAGUUCCCCUUCUCUAAAUUUACAAAAAGAAAAGGUUGUUCGAAGUUCAAAAGUGAAGCUGUUGGUUGUUGUUUGUUGCUGUUUGUACUGGAACUGCUAGCUGGGUUUGUUUCUUUGGAUUCUCACCUUUACUUGGUUCAAUUUCAGCCUGUUUUCUGCUAAUAGGAUGAUAUCACUCUAACUUAGCUUGCCUGUUCAUCUACUAUCCAUGGCUGAUUUGAUCUACAAGAAUAGCCCAAUGGCCAUUUCAUUGUAAAUUGAGUAUCGUUGGAAAGAAUGAAAGCCAUGCGACUGAGGUGCUGUUUCUAUGUAGAAAAUACAAUGGAAGUGGAAGUAGUUUAAAACUGAUAGAUCAUGCAAUUCAUGGUAAUAGCUAUUGUUAAUUCAUUGUAAUUAUGUGUUGAAUAACUUUAGAUUAAGAGUUGUGUUUAGUUCGUUUA